UUAAAACUACGCGAUAGAACUGUGCACUUGCAGUUUGUACCCCAAUUUCGACUCAUAAAGUCGCGAUCAAGUUUUUGGCGCCGUUGUCGGGGACUUUUAUUUAGUCGAUAUCGUAAUUCUUCUGUUACGCUGUAGAGACUAAGGCUUUUCUUUUCUCUUUUCUUUCUUUCGUUGAUUUGUAUGCCACACACUCGCUCACAAGGCGAGCCGUUCUACUUACGAAUCAAUGAUAUCGAACUAUAUCUCCGAGUCUUACGACGAAU
rnacentral:lncRNA from 1 species